rnacentral:rRNA from 1 species
UACGUAGGGUGCAAGCGUUAAUCGGAAUUACUGGGCGUAAAGCGUGCGCAGGCGGUUCGUUGUGUCGGCGGUGAAAGCCCCGGGCUUAACCUGGGAGUGGGCGUUGAAACUGGCGAACUGGAGUGUGGCAGAGGGGGGUGGAAUUCCGCGUGUAGCAGUGAAAUGCGUAGAGAUGCGGAGGAACACCGAUGGCGAAGGCAGCCCCCUGGGCUAACACUGACGCUCAGGCACGAAAGCGUGGGGAGCAAACAGG